rnacentral:rRNA from 1 species
GCGAACUCCGUGGCAGGAGCGGCGGGAGUAAGAGGGAUCCAAGAUUUAGUCGGAAGUAAUGGGUUUAAAGGGUCCGUAGGCGGCCUUAGAAGUCAGCGGUGAAAGUUUUUGGCUUAACCAAAAAAUUGCCAUUGAUACUGUAGGGCUUGAAUAUUUGUGAAGUAACUAGAAUAUGUAGUGUAGCGGUGAAAUGCUUAGAUAUUACAUGGAAUACCAAUUGCGAAGGCAGGUUACUAACAAAUGAUUGACGCUGAUGGACGAAAGCGUGGGUAGCGAACAGGAUUAGAUACCCCUGUAGUC